CCGUCUCCAGGAGGAAGUGGGGAUUUGUAGUUUAGUGGGUACUUUUUUUUUUUAAUUAACAAAACUUUAUUGGCAUUCCACUUCACAGAUGCUUAUAACUCUUUUUCAAAAUCGUUGAAUUCCGAAAUAAGAAGCUCUUCUGGCCCUGAGUCGUACAGUCAUUCAUUCAGCGAGCGCCUGUUUAGCCUGCUCUGUGUUUACCCAGCACUGGAGCAUUGGAAGAGGAAGAGGAGAAGGAUGAAGCUAGGUUGCUGUAUGCAUUAAAUGAAAAAUAUGAAGCCCUGGCACUGUGACUGAGACAGGAUAAGCUCUCAGUAAUGGUAGUUCUUUUUCCUUCUCUCCUCUCUCUUGAUGUGUUGCUUCCUGCUCAACUUAUAACCUGCUCAGCUUUCUCAUUUCCUGCAUGCGUGCGUGCCUGCGUGUACAGACGCACAACCCCCCCCACACACACACAUUUUCCUUCAACUCUUUUACGUGCUAAACCUUCCCACAUACUAUUCAUUGCCAAAGAAAGAAGAGUCUGCUCAGACUCACUCGGUUCCUCACUUCCCACUCAUUUCUAACCUCACUGUAACCCGAAUUAUACUGCUGCCUCUCCUCUGAAUCUGCUUCAGUAACAGCCAAUUAAAUUGCCAAAGCCAGCUUUUCUCCUCAACUUUUAACCACUUAACCUGUCCUCAGCAUUUAAUACCACUGGACAUCUCAUCUCCUUGAAAGUUGCUCUUCUCUAGGCUCCAGUCAAUGGCCCUGACUCCCCUGUCCCUCCUUGCUUCGUGGGGUAGGUUUGCCCAAUCAGGUAGAUAUGACUGAGUCCAGGGGUAAAAUUGUGGUGGUUCCAACCAGAGGCCUCAAAAAGUAGUAUUACACUGGCAAUAAUUUUGGCCAGAUGGAGAUAACUUUUUCAGAUAAGUCAUUAAAUCAGUGUUGCUCCCUAAUCAACAAAAACUGAGGUGAACUGUAAACUGCUUCAUACACAAGCAACCCAGAAGAAAGCAAAGGGAAAUCAGAAAAUGUGUCCAGA